rnacentral:rRNA from 1 species
CAGUUCGGAUUGUAGUCUGCAACUCGACUACAUGAAGCUGGAAUCGCUAGUAAUCGCAGAUCAGAAUGCUGCGGUGAAUACGUUCCCGGGUCUUGUACACACCGCCCGUCACACCAUGGGAGUCGGAAAUGCCCGAAGCCGGUGACCAAACCAAUAAGGAAGGAGCCGUCGAAGGCAGGUCUGAUAACUGGGGUGAAGUCGUAACAAGGUAGC